AUGCCCUCUUGAGCUUGGCCCCUGUGAAUGGAUCCAAACAGCUGCUCCGCCUGGUGGAAUCUGAGAAGAGGGGAGCAGCCCUUGAAGAUCAUCAGCUGUGACUCCCCUGGGCAGCUGCACCUGCUGAUAGUGAAUGAGAUGGGGCCCAGACUGCAGAAAGUGGCCUCAUGGCAGGCACAUCAAUUCAAGGCCUGGAUGCCUUCAAUUGCUGGCAUACAGAAAUUAUAUAUUCAGGGGGUGAUGACUACUGGCCUACUGAGGGGCUGAGACAACAGGGAACCUGGCAGAUUUCUCUUCACCAUCAAGAGAUACUCCAUGGGUGUGUGCAGUAUCCAGAGAAGCCCCCAUCGAGAGCAUGUCCUGGCCACAGGAAGCUAUGAUGAGCACAUCCUACUGUGGGAUAUAUGAAACAUGAAGCAAUCAUUGGCAGACACACCUGUGCAGGGUGGGGUAUGGAGAAUCAAGUGGCACCCUUUCCACCACCACCUGCUUCUGGUCGCCUGUAUGCACAGUGGCUGUAAGAUCCUCAACUGCCCAAAGGCAAUGGAGGAGAAGCAGGAGGCGACGGUCCUGGCAUAUCACACAUUGCCUAACUUGCUGGUGUACGGAGCCGACUGGUCAUAGCUGCUCUUUCAUUCUCUGCAACUGGCCCUCUCGCGGCCCUGUCCUAGCAACCUGGGAACCAAGACAGCAGACCUGAAGGGUACAAGCAAGUUGUCAGCACCCUGUCGUGAAUGCAUGGAGGAUAAUGAUGGAGAGGGCUGGGGAGUGAAGCCACUCACAGAGGACAUGAGGAGGAAUGGCACCUGGCUGUGGGCUACAGCAGCUGCCAAGCGUGACUGUGGCCUGAGCCCAGAAGAAGCAGACUCAGCCUUCAGCCUCCUAGCCACCUGCUCUUUCUAUCAGCAUGCGCCCCACCUCUGGGAGUGGGAGGGGAGCUGA